rnacentral:rRNA from 1 species
UGGGGAAUCUUGCGCAAUGCGCGAAAGCGUGACGCAGCAACGCCGCGUGGGGGAAGAAGGCUUUCGGGUUGUAAACCCCUUUCAGGAGGGACGAAGCUUGGUCGGUGAAUAGCCGAGCCAAGUGACGGUACCUCCAGAAGAAGCCCCGGCUAACUACGUGCCAGCAGCCGCGGUAAUACGUAGGGGGCAAGCGUUGUCCGGAAUCAUUGGGCGUAAAGCGCGUGUAGGCGGUCCGAUAAGUCGGUUGUGAAAGUCAAGGGCUCAACCCUUGAAUGCCGACCGAUACUGUCGGGCUAGAGUCCGGAAGAGGUGAGUGGAAUUCCUGGUGUAGCGGUGAAAUGCGCAGAUAUCAGGAGGAACACCAAUGGCGAAGGCAGCUCACUGGGACGGUACUGACGCUGAGACGCGAAAGCGUGGGGAGCAAACAGGAUUAGAUACCCUGGUAGUCCACGCCGUAAACGAUGGGCACUAGGUGUGGGAGGUGUCGACUCCUCCCGUGCCGAAGCUAACGCAUUAAGUGCCCCGCCUGGGGAGUACGGCCGCAAGGCUAA